UAGUCCACGCCCUAAACGAUGCUUACUCGAUGUUUGUGACGUAGUCAUGAGCAUCCAAGGGAAACCGUUAAGUAAGCCACCUGGGGAGUACGUUCGCAAGAAUGAAACUCAAAGGAAUUGACGGGGUCCGCACAAGCGGUGGAGCAUGUGGUUUAAUUCGACGAUACGCGAGGAACCUUACCUAGGCUCUAAUGUUAGCGCAAUCUGGUGAAAGCCGGAGUUCCUUCGGGACGCGAAACAAGGUGCUGCAUGGUUGUCGUCAGCUCGUGCCGUGAGGUGUUGGGUUAAGUCCCGCAACGAGCGCAACCCCUAUCUUCAGUUGCCAGCACAUAAUGGUGGGGACUCUGGAGAGACUGCCUACGCAAGUAGAGAGGGAAGGCGGGGAUGACGUCAAAUCAUCAUGGCCUUUAUGCCUAGGGGCUACACACGUGCUACAAUGGCGGGGUACAGAGGGGCAGCUAAGCCGCGAGGGUGGGAGCUAAUCCCACAAAG
rnacentral:rRNA from 1 species